rnacentral:lncRNA from 1 species
UAUUAUAUCCCCACUGCAUCUAUUUUUUGUCGGAUUUUGCUUAAAAUCUUACAGUAAUAUAUGUUUUUUGUCAGUUUUUGGACCGCCAGUUAUAGAUAAUUUUGUAGUAGUGUUCUAUUAGGACUCGGCCAAAUUCUUCUAUGGGCUAAAUAUCAUCUGGCUUGAGGAAUCACUACUGGCUUGAGAAUCAACCCAAACCAUCCACCUUUAGCCUAGACCCAAUAUUUCAAGCCCAAACAUUGUACCCUUGCUUAUGAAGUAUUCGACCAUGGACACCUAACCAGAAGGUUUUGAAGAAGUGAAUGCUUUUCAACCACCCACUCACCAACAUUCAUUGAAUAGGUUGCCAUAACCACACCACCAUGCUUCAAGGCCUUAUGGCAUUUUUCCACUUUCGGCAGUUCAAUGCGGUGCACGCUCUAGAUAAACUGGCCGUCGAAACGUUCAUCCUUAAUGGACGUACCUUGAAAAUCGAAACAAUUCGGCCUGUUGUUAAAAGCGUGAAAAUAGAUCAAAUACCUCGUUUUUCAAAAUGGAAUGAUUAAGGGUGCUUUGAAAUUCAAAAACAUAAGUGAUUUUGUGAACUAACCCUGAGAUUCUCUUAGUUUUCAAAACUUAAAACCCUUAAGCUUCCUCACACAUCCACCUAGAAAUACCCCUGGGGUUUCCCACUUCUUCUUCACCUUUCAAGAAAUCUCCUAGAAGCUUUGCUAUUUUGAAUCCUCAAAUUCCAGAAAAACUCAUCAUAUUUUUUAGAAAUCAUCCAACCUUCAAACCUUCUUGGCUUCAACUCAAAACUCCCAUGCCUACUGCUAGAAGAUCUUUGACGAGCUUCAAAAAAUCUAAAGCUCUGUCGAUCACUAAACCACCAAACUUUUUAGGUAUCUUGACGAACAUGAGGCUAACCAUCAAUUCCUUGGCCUUCUGUUCAAUGAGCUUAUCCCAAACUUCAUCACCUCUCUAAUGAAAAAAUAUAUUUGAUAGAGUCGUUUUUCCAAUGCAUCGACUGGGCUAAAUGCGAGGUUACCAAGCCUCAAGUGGCCUGACCUUCGGCCCCAACUGCAUGGGCCAUGCAGGUGAACCGAAUGGAACCCCACUUUGAUAGCUCAUGAAAAAGUUUGGGCAUAUUCGACCCCAUUAAGAUCUCCACCAUUGAGAUCAGUAUGGAUUGAGAAUCACUAUUGGGCUGAGAAUCAACCCGAAGUAUCCACCUCCGACCCAAAUCUAAUAUUUUAGGCCCCAACAAUAUACAAGAAGGAAAAUGAGUAGCAUGAUUUUAAUGGUAGACCCUUUUCACGCUUAUAUUGUAUUAUACUAGCCUUUGUUGAAUCACGGCGUGCUACGUGCAACUUACAUGUUUUAAAUGUAUUUAUAUGCGUAAAUUGACAAAAGGAAAGUCAAAUAUUUGAAGUAAAUAAAUAAUGUUAGAUCAUGCUAGAAGAAAUCCCUCAUAACCAUUUAAAGCAGCUGAAUCUACAUAAUCAAAUCGGUCUUUAUAAAAUUUACAUUAAGAAUAGAAAAAAUAAUAUUUAAUA